UGGCCUCAUCCACAUGUUACUAAUGCCUGA
rnacentral:piRNA from 1 species